rnacentral:rRNA from 1 species
UCCUUUGUGAAAUCGUCGAACUCAAUACGACGGCAUGCAGGGGACACUUUUAGACUAGAGACUGGGAGGAGUUGGGGGUAUGCCUUGGGGAGCGGUUAAAUGUGAUAAUCCAAGGUAGACCACCUGUGGCGAAGGCGCCCAACUAGAACAGUUCUGACUGUGAGGGAUGAAAGCUAGGGGAGCGAUCCGGAUUAGAUACCCGAGUAGUCCUAGCUGUAAACACUGUGAGCUAGGUGUCGCAUAUUCUACGAGAAUAUGCGGUGUCGAAAAGAAGUUGAUAAGCUCACCGCCUGGGAAGUACGGUCGCAAGACUGAAACUUAAAGGAAUUGGCGGGGGAAUACACCAGGAGUGCGGCGUGCGGUUUAAUCUAACUCAACGCAGAACACCUUACUAGAAGCGACGGCAGGAUGAAGAUCAGUCUGAAGGGCUUAUCUGACGAGCCGAGAGGUAGUGCAUGGCCGCCGUCAGCUCGUGUCGUAAGAUGUCCUGUUAAGUCAGGCAACGAGCAAGACCUGCGCCUAUAAUUGCAAACGGAU